UCGGCUAGGAGCAGCAAGCAUCGAUGGCGG
rnacentral:ribozyme from 1 species